AGAAGCAGAAGGCACACAAAGGAAAGGAAGUUGUAUCGGGUAUCUGGUCCCAACAAUGCGGAAGAUAACAAAUGUCCAGUUGUCACAGAGCACAGGCUGAGGAAUCAGAAUCGAAAGUCAGACUCACUUCUGCUUCGUUGACCCAGAUCUCACGGGGCUUCAGUUUCCAAACCUGAACACCGGGGAGAAGAUUAUGAACCACAAAUAUCUGUGACACCUUUGAGGGACUGGAACCCCAUGCCUGCUGUGUGAUAGUCAGUCACCCACCUGUGUGCUGCGUUCAAACUUCCGAUCUCCGUGUGUUUCCCUGGGAAUCCUCACAGGACUCAGCGGCAGGAAACUGCCUCAGAAAGGCCAAGCAGUGAGGCAUUCCUACAAGCCCAAGACAAGAGGCAACUGGAACCCAUGUUCUCCAGAGGCAGAGCUUGUCACUGCACCCCAGCCAACCAAAGAGGCCUAUCCAGCAGGAAGUGAGUUCAGGUUGUAAAAUCAUACUGAGUUCUGGCAGUUUAAGAAGCGUGCCCGGAAAAAUAACCAGAGCAGGAAGGAGAAGAAAAGUACUUGAAGGGCGCAGAUGGAUUUUGCAGCUGGGUACGGGAACAUUAGCAUUAGCGAAAUGUCUGUGGUGGAGCCCAGGUUUCCUUCACACAAAGGUCACAUCCCUUCUCUGUGAAGGGAACCGUGCUGAAGCUCUACCCCUCACUUGGGCACCUGGGAUUUCCGGAUCAAAGCUGCCGAGCCCGUGACAACAGGAAAAGCAUUUCGUUAUUGGGCGCCUGGUGAGUUAAGCUAAAAAGAAAUGCCAGGCAGUUUCUUUCCUGACUUUUUUCCUUGCUCUGUUUUUCUACAGCUGGCUGUCUCUAUUGGGUAAGCGAGACGGUCAGCUGGAAGUCCGGCUGCCCUUUCAUAGGGGGUAAAAGCAACAAGAUGAGACACACAUGGGGGCUGCCAGGUGAUCCUGGGCAGUGGGCAGAGAAGAGAAACGUGAAGCAAGCCUACCCAUUUCAUCGUCUCUCACGUGUUCCCAGUGUGAACUCUACUGGAUAUUUUUGUGGGCACAGUAUCCUGGAAGAAACUUGCUUUAAAAUGUAAUAGAUCUGGCUAUUUUGUGGCACUGUGGAUCAGGACUUCCACCCCACAAAAUCUCCACAUAAGCAGCAGCCACAUGCAGCAUGGGGACUGAGCUGAGGAAAGAAAUGUUUCCAUUCAUAUAUUUUUUAACUCCUUCUGAGACUCUCAUCCAGACCCCUUAAAUUCCCUGUGACUGGAUGUUGCCCAUUUACGGCACUGAUGAAACUCUGAGACAGAAAGCAAAACCAAGUCAACUCAGAAGUUAGAAAGCAAGCAUAGGAUGGUCUCUGGCCACAAGGGUAUCAGUCGAGAAAGAGCAAACACCUAAGGUUACAAUCCCUUGAGUAUUUACAGAUUCAGCCACACAGCAAAUAACCCAGGAGUCGAAGAGGGAGAUCACAGCAGAAGGCAGGAGCCACUCUCAAAUGAGCGGCAGGCGUUCACAGCAUAUUGAUGACCGUGAGACCAAAGGGAGGGCGGUAUGAGCAGAGCGACCUUUACACUGAAGCUGGACAGAGAGGAAGAAAGAACAAGAUCACAGCCAUAACAGACAGACAGACAGACAAAGAGGAGCGAGUGCAAAGAGAAGUGGUGAAAACACUUGAAAAACUGGGCCCAGAAAAGUGUAAUAAAAUCAUCGUUCCUGGCAAUCAAUGAAGGGGGAUAUGGAAAGGGAGCUACAGAUAGACUCAGAGACACACACUUGCGGCAAGAAUGAGCAAUGUCAGAAAUCACAAUUAUUAAAAAUGUUAAGUUGAUCAAUAAUAAGGAAUAUCAGCAACUGUGGCAGAUUCUGACGACAGA